rnacentral:rRNA from 1 species
UACGUAGGGUGCAAGCGUUGUCCGGAAUUAUUGGGCGUAAAGAGCUCGUAGGCGGUCUGUCGCGUCUGCUGUGAAAACUCAGGGCUUAACCCUGAGCUUGCAGUGGGUACGGGCAGACUAGAGUGCGGUAGGGGAGACUGGAAUUCCUGGUGUAGCGGUGAAAUGCGCAGAUAUCAGGAAGAACACCCGUGGCGAAGGCGGCUCUCUGGAACGCAACUGACGCUGAGACGCGAAAGCGUGGGGAGCAAACAGG